rnacentral:rRNA from 1 species
GUCCACGCCCUAAACGAUGUCGACUAGGUGUUCGGGGAGGAGACUCCUUGAGUACCGCAGCUAACGCGUGAAGUCGACCGCCUGGGGAGUACGGUCGCAAGAUUAAAACUCAAAGGAAUUGACGGGGACCCGCACAAGCGGUGGAUGAUGUGGAUUAAUUCGAUGCAACGCGAAAAACCUUACCUACCCUUGACAUGCCUGGAACCCUGCUGAGAGGUGGGGUGCCUUCGGGAGCCAGGACACAGGUGCUGCAUGGCUGUCGU